rnacentral:rRNA from 1 species
UACGAAGGGGGCUAGCGUUGCUCGGAAUCACUGGGCGUAAAGGGUGCGUAGGCGGGUCUUUAAGUCAGGGGUGAAAUCCUGGAGCUCAACUCCAGAACUGCCUUUGAUACUGAGGAUCUUGAGUUCGGGAGAGGUGAGUGGAACUGCGAGUGUAGAGGUGAAAUUCGUAGAUAUUAGGAAGAACACCAGUGGCGAAGGCGGCUCACUGGUCCGGCACUGACGCUGAGGUGCGAAAGCGUGGGGAGCAAACAGG